rnacentral:rRNA from 1 species
GAUGAACGCUGGCGGCGUGCCUAAUACAUGCAAGUCGAACGCUGGAAAUCUAGCUUGCUAGAUUGAAGGAGUGGCGAACGGGUGAGUAAUACAUAAGCAACCUACCCACGAAGACUGGGAUAAUCUCUGGAAACGGGGACUAAUACCGGAUAGGUAAUCGGAAGGCAUCUUCUGAUUAUUAAAGGUUAAAAACACUGGUGGAUGGGCUUAUGGCGCAUUAGUUAGUUGGUGAGGUAACGGCCCACCAAGACGAUGAUGCGUAGCCGGCCUGAGAGGGUGAACGGCCACAUUGGGACUGAGACACGGCCCAGACUGCUACGGGAGGCAGCAGUAGGGAAUUUUCGGCAAUGGGGGAAACCCUGACCGAGCAACGCCGCGUGAGUGAUGACGGCCUUCGGGUUGUAAAGCUCUGUUGUAAGGGAAGAACGGUAGAUAGAGAAUAUCUAAAUGACGGUACCUUACCAGAAAGCCACGGCUAACUACGUG